rnacentral:lncRNA from 1 species
CGUCUCUGGAGGACUGGUGGUGGCUCCGUUGACGCUGGAGUGGACCCGACGAAGUCCAAAGCGGUUGGGCCUUGAAUCUGCUGGAGUUGGUCUCCGCUACACCGAAGUUGGAAGGCAUUUAUAAAGAAAGGCCGUGCAAAGACAUAGGAGAAUGCCAUUAUCUGCAAGCCAACAAGAGCCCCUUGCCAGAGAAUAAAUCAGCUCAAAUCUUGGUCUUGGACUUCUAACUUCCAGAACUGUGAGAAAAUAAAUUUUAGUUGUUUAACCCACCCAAUUUGUGGUGUUGCCUGGGCUGUCCUGGAACUCUUGGGCUCCCAUGAUCCGCUUGCCUCAACCACCCAAGUAGCUGGAACCACAAGCCAGGCUAUUUUCUCAAUGGCUGUUGUCCAGUGGCCUCCUGAAUUCUUUGUCACAUGUGACUUUCCACAGGGCAGUUUAGAACAUGGAGCAUAGCUGCCCUCAGGAGCAAGCAAGGAGCCAGAGGGGUCCCCAAGAUGGAAGCUAGUCUUUGUAACCCCUUCUCAGAAGUGAAAUUCGGAGCCAUGUGUGGUGUUGCAUGCCUGUAACCCCACCAGUCUAGAAGGCUGAGGCAGGAGGAUCCCAAGUUUGAGACUAGCCUGGACAAUUUAGCAAUUUAGUGAGAACCUUUCUCAUGUAGCUCAGUGUGAAGUCCUGGGCUUAAUCCAAGCACCACAAAAAGCAAGAUAUAUGUGACAUUUCAUCAUUUCUACUUUAUCCCAUUUGUUAGAAAUAAGUCACUGGAUCCAAUCCCAUCUAAGGAGAGACUCAAGUCAUGAAUACCAGGAGGUAGCGACCCCUAGAGGCCAUCGCUAGAGUGAGAGCUGUGAUAAAGGAAGUAGAACUCUUUGAAGUGUCUUUGGAGAUUUAAGGCCUGGUGUGGAUCCCUGGGCUCCAUGGUGCUUUUCUUGCUCUCUUUGGACCUCCUGACCUGUGCAUAACCCAGGAAGGGGCCCUGAGCAAGGGCCUAAGAAGCUAAAGAGCAGAUAAGACUCCAGGAUCCGCCGAGGGAGGCCCCACUUCAGGUUUGAUGUGAGCUUCCAGGUCACUGAAGUGGCUAGGACUGAAGAAUUCAGGAGUCAGCC